rnacentral:sRNA from 1 species
GGAAGGAUCAUUAUCGUACAGAAUGUGAGAGGCAUGCGAGCGCUGUCGCUGACCCAAAAGUCGUGCACGCCCGAGUGUGUUCUCUCACAUGAUCAAUCCAUCUCACCCUUUUGUGCAUCACCGCGUGGGCACCCUUCGGGAUCGUCUCGGAGGGGGCUCGCGUUUUCACACAAAACCCCCCUUUUAAAAAAAGUGUAGAAUGACCUCAUUUAUGCGCUAACCCGCAAUCAAUACAACUUUCAACAACGGAUCUCUUGGCUCUCGCAUCGAUGAAGAACGCAGCGAAAUGCGAUACGUAAUGUGAAUUGCAGAAUUCAGUGAAUCAUCGAAUCUUUGAACGCACCUUGCGCCCCUUGGUAUUCCGAGGGGCACACCCGUUUGAGUGUCGUGAAAACCUCAACCUCCUUGGUUUCUUCUGGAGACCAAAGCAGGCUUGGACUUUGGAGGCCCUUUGCUGGCACCUCUCUUUUGAAGGCCAGCUCCUCUUAAAUGAAUUAGCAGGGUCCUCUUUGCUGAUCCUCGACGUGUGAUAAGAUGUUUCCAUGUCUUGGUUUCUGGCUCUGUCACCUUUGGGACCCGCUUCUAACCGUCUUGACCUUGCAUCGAGACAACGUUCGAGCAUGUCUCCCUUUCUCGGGAAGCUCCCUCGACCCCACGAACCCCUUGACCUCAAAUCGGGUGAGACUACCCGCUGAACUUAAGCAUAUCAAUAAGCGGAGGAA